CCCUUAGAUGUCCUGGGCCGCACGCGCGUUACACUGAUGCACUCAACGAGUAUAUAACCUUGGCCGAGAGGCCUGGGUAAUCUUGUUAACUUGCAUCGUGAUAGGGAUAGAUUAUUGCAAUUAUUAAUCUUGAACGAGGAAUUCCUAGUAAUCGCAGUUCAUCAAACUGCAGUGAUUACGUCCCUGCCCUUUGUACACACCGCCCGUCGCUCCUACCGAUUGAAUGGUCCGGUGAAGCGUUCGGACCGUGGCCUUUGGACGGUUCGCCGUCUGUUGGCUGCGGGAAGUUCGUUAAACCUUAUCAUUUAGAGGAAGGAGAAGUCGUAACA
rnacentral:rRNA from 1 species